CAAACUUGAGAGUUUGAUCCUGGCUCAGAACGAACGCUGGCGGCAUGCCUAACACAUGCAAGUCGAACGAACCCU
rnacentral:rRNA from 1 species